UACUCGGUGGUAUAGUGGUCAGUACUCCCGACUGCCACUCGGUAGUUCGGCGUUCGAUUACUACUCACCGGUGAGGUU